rnacentral:rRNA from 1 species
GAUGAACGCUAGCGGGAGGCCUAACACAUGCAAGCCGAGCGGUAUGGAUAGCUUGCUAUCCAGAGAGCGGCGUACGGGUGCGUAACACGUGUGCAACCUACCUUUAUCUGGGGGAUAGCCUUUCGAAAGGAAGAUUAAUACCCCAUAAUAUAAUGAUUGGCAUCAAUUAUUAUUGAAAACUCCGGUGGAUAGAGAUGGGCACGCGCAAGAUUAGAUAGUUGGUGAGGUAACGGCUCACCAAGUCAAUGAUCUUUAGGGGUCCUGAGAGGGAGAUCCCCCACACUGGUACUGAGACACGGACCAGACUCGUACGGGAGGCAGCAGUGAGGAAUAUUGGACAAUGGGUGAGAGCCUGAUCCAGCCAUCCCGCGUGAAGGAUGACGGUCCUAUGGAUUGUAAACUUCUUUUGUACAGGGAUAAACCUACUCUCGUGAGGGUAGCUGAAGGUACUGUACGAAUAAGCACCGGCUAACUCCGUG